CGGCAGCCACUUCUCAGAGGACACGCCCAGGCUUCCUCUCUACCAGGCGUUGUUCACUAGUUUCAGGCGAUGCUGCACUGAGCGUCGGGUACCUGUGCUGUUGCCGGGGGUGAUGAUGAAGGGACAGGCCCAGGUCCUGGUCACUCUGCACACCCACGUGUGUGUGCAGCUCUGUGCCAGUAUGGCGGCGCUUCCCCCUGUGUACUUCCCCGUGCUGGUGAGGCACACACACACACACACACACACACACACACACAACCACAUCCAUUGUAUCAGAAGCAGCAUCAGAAGAAGUGAACACUGUUUUGCUAGUAAAGUUCAGGCAG